ensembl:piRNA 21ur-2750 ncRNA
UCUGAUCAAUGAAAUAUUAUC